CUAGGGACGCGCGCCCCGAGCGCCUUGGCAACGCCAGCCUCUGCGAGCUGCAGGAACAACAGCUCCCACCCAGGGCCCACCCAGCCGCCCUCCCGGCAGCUCCUGGGUCCUGGCACCCGCCCUGGCGCAGCUCCUGCUCCUGCUGCUGCUGCUACUACUACUGCUAGCCGAGGGCGAGGCCACCCGAGGCCCCUGAGACUCUGGGUGGGCUCUGGGGCUGGAGAGGCUAAGACUACAGAGGCCGCGUCCUCCGUCCCUCGAUGGACUAAGACGCACCCGCAGGGUGGGCUGGAGGUAACCGGAGGCCUCUUACUUAGGAAGGCAAAGGAUAUUAUCAACUAGGCGAUUAUUUGGAAAGAAAAAGGAAACAAGUUUUUCUUUUGUCGUACACUAUCCGGUACUUUGAAGAAGUUGAAAGAACAAUAAACUUGGAUCAUAAUGGA